rnacentral:tRNA from 1 species
AGCCCGGUGGUGUAGCGGCCAAGCAUGGCGGGCUCUGGAUCCAAACUCCCGGAGGAGAACCCCGCCGACGGGAGUUCGAAUCUCCCCCGGGCUA